rnacentral:rRNA from 1 species
UACGUAGGGGGCAAGCGUUGUCCGGAUUCAUUGGGCGUAAAGAGCUCGUAGGCGGUUCGGCAAGUCGGGUGUGAAAACUCCAGGCUCAACCUGGAGACGCCACCCGAUACUGCUGUGACUUGAGUCCGGUAGGGGACCACGGAAUUCCUGGUGUAGCGGUGAAAUGCGCAGAUAUCAGGAGGAACACCGGUGGCGAAGGCGGGUCUCUGGGCCGUAACUGACGCUGAGGAGCGAAAGCAUGGGGAGCGAACAGG